GACGAACGCUGGCGGCGUGCUUAACACAUGCAAGUCGAACGAUGAAGCAAAGAUUUGAAGCUUCGGCAGAAAGUCAUUUCGGAUUAGUGGCAGACGGGUGAGUAACGCGUGAGCAAGCUACCCCUUACAAAGGGAUAGCCUCGGGAAACCGGGAUUAAUACCAUAUAACAUUGCGACGAAGCAUUUCGAUGCAAUCAAAGCUACGGCGGUAUGAGAUGGGCUCGCGUCCCAUUAUCGAUAUGGUAAGGUAACGGCACACCAUAGUAACGAUGGGUAACCGGCAGGGGGGGCUGAACGGUCACACUGGAAAUAAGACACGGUCCAGACUCCGACGGGAGGGAGCAGUGGGGAAUAUUGCACAAUGAAGGGAACUCUGAUGCAGCGACGCCGCGUGAGUGAUGAAGGAAUUCGUUACGUAAAACUCUGUGCUAUGAGAAGAAAAUGACUGUACCGGAGGAGAAAGCACCGGCUAAAUACGUG
rnacentral:rRNA from 1 species